GGCCGGUUGGCCCAAUGGCAAGGCGUCUGACUACGAUCAACGUUGGUAUCAGGAGAUUCUGGGUUCGACCCCCAGGCUGGUCA
rnacentral:tRNA from 1 species